rnacentral:tRNA from 1 species
AAGAAAGUCAUAAUGGUUAUGGAGCUGGCUUGAAACUAGUUUAAGGAAGUUCGAUUCUUCCCUUUCUUG